CCUACGGGCGGCAGCAGUGGGGAAUAUUGCACAAUGGGGGAAACCCUGAUGCAGCAACGCCGCGUGAGGGAAGAAGUAUUUCGGUAUGUAAAGCUCUAUCAGCAGGGAAGAAGAUGCCGGUACCUGAAUAAGAAGCCCCGGCUAACUACGUGCCAGCAGCCGCGGUAAUACGUAGGGGGCAAGCGUUCUCCGGAUUUACUGGGGGGAAAGGGAGCGCAGACGGCAGUGCAAGUCUGGAGUGAAAGCCCGGGGCCCAACCCCGGAACUGCCCUGGAAACUGUGCGGCUAGAGUAUUGGAGGGGAAGGAGGAAUUCCUGGUGUAGCGGUGAAAUGCGUAGAUAUUAGGAGGAACACCAGUGGCGAAGGCGGCUUGCUGGACAGUAACUGACGUUGAGGCUCGAAAGCGUGGGGAGCAAACAGGAUUAGAUACCCGUGUAGUC
rnacentral:rRNA from 1 species